GUGAGAGGAGGCGUGUGUGUGCUCAGUGCUCCUGCAUGGUUUACUAUCAAUAUCACCCAACCGGCUACCUGACUGCUUACCACCAGGUAUUACAUCCUUAAAUAUCUAAAGCAAGCAAAGAUAUUGACUACCUGGAAUUUACAUUCUCCUGAGGUCUUCCAUAAGAUUUUCCAGUACGUCACUUUGCC